UACGUAGGGUGCAAGCGUUGUCCGGAAUUAUUGGGCGUAAAGAGCUCGUAGGCGGUCUGUCGCGUCGAAUGUGAAAACCCGGGGCUCAACCCCGGGCCUGCAUUCGAUACGGGCAGACUAGAGUUCGGUAGGGGAGUCUGGAAUUCCUGGUGUAGCGGUGAAAUGCGCAGAUAUCAGGAGGAACACCGGUGGCGAAGGCGGCAUCCUGGACCGGCAUUGACGCUGAGGCGCGAAAGCCAGGGGAGCAAACGGG
rnacentral:rRNA from 1 species